rnacentral:rRNA from 1 species
UAGGGAAUCUUCCGCAAUGGGCGAAAGCCUGACGGAGCAACGCCGCGUGAGUGAUGAAGGUCUUCGGAUCGUAAAACUCUGUUAUUAGGGAAGAACAAAUGUGUAAGUAACUAUGCACGUCUUGACGGUACCUAAUCAGAAAGCCACGGCUAACUACGUGCCAGCAGCCGCGGUAAUACGUAGGUGGCAAGCGUUAUCCGGAAUUAUUGGGCGUAAAGCGCGCGUAGGCGGUUUUUUAAGUCUGAUGUGAAAGCCCACGGCUCAACCGUGGAGGGUCAUUGGAAACUGGAAAACUUGAGUGCAGAAGAGGAAAGUGGAAUUCCAUGUGUAGCGGUGAAAUGCGCAGAGAUAUGGAGGAACACCAGUGGCGAAGGCGACUUUCUGGUCCGUAACUGACGCUGAUGUGCGAAAGCGUGGGGAUCAAACAGG